AUUGAACGCUGGCGGCAUGCUUCACACAUGCAAGUCGAACGGCAGCAUGGGUGCUUGCACCUGAUGGCGAGUGGCGAACGGGUGAGUAAUGUAUCGGAACAUAUCCGCAAGUGGGGGAUAACGUAGCGAAAGUUACGCUAAUACCGCAUAUUCCCUGAGGGGGAAAGGGGGGGAUCCGCAAGGACCUUUCGCUUACGGAGUGGCCGAUAUAAGAUUAGCUAGUUGGUGAGGUAAAGGCUCACCAAGGCUUCGAUCUGUAGCGGGUCUGAGAGGAUGACCCGCCCCACGGGGACUGGGACGAGGCCCAGACUCCUGCGGGCGGCAGCAGUGGGGAAUUUUGGACCAUGGGGGCAAGCCUGAUCCAGCCAUGCCGCGUGAGUGAAGAAGGCGUUCGGGUUGUAAAGCUCUUUCAGCAGGAAAAAAAUCGCUUCACCUAAUGCGUGGAGUGGAUGAUGGAACCAGCAGAAGAAGCACAGGCUAACUACGUGCCAGCCGCCGCGGUAA
rnacentral:rRNA from 1 species